UACGAAGGGGGGCUAGCGUUGCUCGGAAUGACUGGGCGUAAAGGGCGCGUAGGCGGAUGGCACAGUCAGAUGUGAAAUUCCCGGGCUUAACCUGGGGGCUGCAUUUGAUACGUGUUGUCUUGAGUUCGGAAGAGGGUCGUGGAAUUCCCAGUGUAGAGGUGAAAUUCGUAGAUAUUGGGAAGAACACCGGUGGCGAAGGCGGCGACCUGGUCCGAUACUGACGCUGAGGCGCGAAAGCGUGGGGAGCAAACAGG
rnacentral:rRNA from 1 species